rnacentral:rRNA from 1 species
AUUGAACGCUGGCGGAAUGCUUUACACAUGCAAGUCGAACGGCAGCACGGGGCAACCUGGUGGCGAGUGGCGAACGGUGAGUAAUACAUCGGAACGUGCCCAAUCGUGGGGGAUAACGUAGCGAAAGUUACGCUAAUACCGCAUACGAUCUACGGAUGAAAGCGGGGGAUCGCAAGACCUCGCGCGAAUGAAGCGGCCGAUGUCAGAUUAGGUAGUUGGUGGGGUAAAGGCUCACCAAGCCAACGAUCUGUAGCUGGUCUGAGAGGACGACCAGCCACACUGGGACUGAGACACGGCCCAGACUCCUACGGGAGGCAGCAGUGGGGAAUUUUGGACAAUGGGCGCAAGCCUGAUCCAGCCAUUCCGCGUGCAGGAUGAAGGCCUUCGGUUGUAACUGCUUUGUACGGAACGAAACGGUUCUCUCUAAUACAGGGGCGUAAGUGACGGUACCGUAAGAAUAAGCACCGGCUAACUACGUGCCAGCAGCCGCGGUAA